rnacentral:lncRNA from 1 species
CCAAAUCAGCAAAGAAUCAAAUUGAGAAUAGAAAUAAGUGUUAGGGUUCUUGAAACCCUCAAGGAGAUUGUGAUUCUGCCCAAGUGAACACCAAGAUAGUUUUCCCCAAAUUUCGACAAUCUAAUUUCACCCAAAAAGAGUAUGGAAAAACCCUAGAAAUUGGGGAUUUUUGGGCUGAUUCCUUAAGAUAGAAAAAGGCUGAAAACACAAUAAGAACAGAAAAUAGAUUAGAUAAUGAUUCAGCAUAAGUAGAAAUAAAGAAAGAAUUGACAGUAAGAAAUUAAAAGAUAAGUCCUAAGAAGCCUUGAAAUCUCGAAAGAUCUCACAACUCCCUUCAAACGGCUCUAAUCUCCCCUCCAAAGAAUAUCAAUGGCAAGAAGAAGGUUGAAG